GACGAACGCUGGCGGCGUGCCUAAUACAUGCAAGUUGAGCGCUGAAGGUUGGUACUUGUACCAACUGGAUGAGCAGCGAACGGGUGAGUAACGCGUGGGGAAUCUGCCUUUGAGCGGGGGGCAACAUUUGGAAACGAAUGCUAAUACCGCAUAAAAACGUUAAACACAAGUUUUAAGUUUGAAAGAUGCAAUUGCAUCACUCAAAGAUGAUCCCGCGUUGUAUUAGCUAGUUGGUGAGGUAAAGGCUCACCAAGGCGAUGAUACAUAGCCGACCUGAGAGGGUGAUCGGCCACACUGGGCCUGAGACACGGCCCAAACUCCUACGGGAGGCAGCAGUAGGGAAUCUUCGGCAAUGGACGAAAGUCUGACCGAGCAACGCCGCGUGAGUGAAGAAGGUUUUCGGAUCGUAAAACUCUGUUGGUAGAGAAGAACGUUGGUGAGAGUGGAAAGCUCAUCAAGUGACGGUAACUACCCAGAAAGGGACGGCUAACUACGUG
rnacentral:rRNA from 1 species